GGGGAGGGACCUGUGGGAGAUGAACCGAGAGGCAGGGCCUGGGGGAGCCGAGCCCAGCCCCGGUGCCCCCAGUCCCAGGCGCCCAUCCAGGGAGGCUGGAGGGACUGGGCCCUGGCCAGAGCACGCCGUGAUCACGGACGCAGAUCGGGCCGGGUUCAAGGAUGGGGUGCGGACAGCAUCCCGAGCAAGGGCCAAGCCACAGGAUGGAAGAAACCCGGCUGCCUGAACGGUAUCAUAGAGCCUCCCUGCCCUCCUGACCCCUGGCCUCGGCGCUGAUUCAGGAGACAAGACUGACACAGAUUUUGUUCAGCUACAGUGUUUGGGGGCGUUCUUGCUACAGCCACUCCCUCGGGCGGGGCUCCAUCUUCUACAUCCGUGGGUGGCCACCCACCCAGCAUCGUGACCUACACCAGCGAGUAGCUCCGACACGUCUCCUGUGUUGAAUCCUGCGGGAUCGCUUUGAUAACAAGCGUAAAAAUGCUAAUUAUCAAAAGAAACCCACAGGCUCUGGCUGACA